AAAUUGAAGAGUUUGAUCAUGGCUCAGAUUGAACGCUGGCGGCAGGCCUAACACAUGCAAGUCGAACGGUAACAGGAAGCAGCUUGCUGCUUCGCUGACGAGUGGCGGACGGGUGAGUAAUGUCUGGGAAACUGCCUGAUGGAGGGGGAUAACUACUGGAAACGGUAGCUAAUACCGCAUAACGUCGCAAGACCAAAGAGGGGGACCUUCGGG
rnacentral:rRNA from 2 species